rnacentral:misc_RNA from 1 species
AAAGUCGUAACAAGGUUUCCGUAGGUGAACCUGCGGAAGGAUCAUUACAAGAGUUUAUGCCCUUUAAAGGGUAUACCCUCCAACCCUUUCUUUUAAUUGAUUUUGUUGCUUUGGCAGGUUUGUUUUUAAAAAACUUUCCACCCGCCAGAGGAAAUUAAAACUCUGAAUAUUUUGUUGUCCGAGCUAUAAUAAUUUUUAUAAAACUUUCAACAACGGAUCUCUUGGUUCUG